rnacentral:rRNA from 1 species
UACGUAGGUGGCGAGCGUUGUCCGGAUUUAUUGGGCGUAAAGCGCGUGCAGGCGGUUCGUUAAGUUUGGGGUGAAAGCUCCCGGCUCAACUGGGAGAGGUCAUUGGAUACUGGCGGACUCGAGGGAGGCAGAGGAAGGUGGAAUUCCCGGUGUAGUGGUGAAAUGCGUAGAGAUCGGGAGGAACACCAGUGGCGAAGGCGGCCUUCUGGGCCUUUCCUGACGCUGAGGCACGAAAGCUAGGGGAGCAAACAGG